GCCCUUCGGGGCGCCCAGGCGCGAAAACUCCACAAUGCACGAAAGUGUGAUGGGGGAACUCAAAGUGCUUAUACACUGUAUAGGCUUUUGCCAACUCAAAAUUUGUUGGCGAAUAAGUGGUGGGCAAGACUGGUGCCAGCCGCCGCGGUAACACCAGCGCCACAAGUGGGAAUCGCUUUUACUGGGCCUAAAGCGUCCGUAGCAGGUCUUGAUUAAUUGUCUGUGAAAUUGCAUAGCUCAACUAUGCGAAAUGCAGGCAACACUGCAAGACUAGAGACCGGGGGAUGUUGGAGGUAUUCAGAGGGGAGCGGUAAAAUGCGAGAAUCCUCUGAGGACCACCUGUUGCGAAGGCGUCCAACAACAACGGGUCUGACUGUGAGGGUCCAAAGCUAGGGGAGCGAACCGGAUUAGAUACCCGAGUAGUCCUAGCCCUAAACGCUGCGAGCUAGGUGUUGCAUAAUCUUCGGGAUUAUGCAGUAUCGUAGAGAAGUCGUUAAGCUCGCCGCCUGGGAAGUACGGCCGCAAGACUGAAACUUAAAGGAAUUGGCGGGGGAGCAC
rnacentral:rRNA from 1 species